UCCGUUCUCGAGAAUGUGUCAUUCUAAGUAGUAGUGCCGCAGGUGACAACAUUUGAGCUUACCUGUUCUCUGCUACUUAACAUGGCCGUCUCUUCUCGAACU
rnacentral:pre_miRNA from 11 species